rnacentral:rRNA from 1 species
AACGAACGCUGGCGGCGCGCCUAAUACAUGCAAGUCGAACGAGAAGCUGUAGCAAUACAGUUGUACAGUGGCGAACGGGUGAGGAAUACAUGGGUGACCUACCCUCGAGUGGGGAAUAACCAGCCGAAAGGUUGGCUAAUACCGCGUACGCUUCCCAGUCUACGGGUUGGGAAGGAAAGCGAUGCCGUGGGUAUCGCGCUCAAGGUUGGGCUCAUGUCCUAUCAGCUUGNGGUGGGGUAACGGCUCACCAAGGCAACGACGGGUAGCUGGUCUGAGAGGACGAUCAGCCACACUGGCACUGCGACACGGGCCAGACUCCUACGGGNGGCAGCAGUAAGGAAUAUUGCGCAAUGGGCGAAAGCCUGACGCAGCGACGCCGCGUGGGGGA